rnacentral:tRNA from 1 species
GGGGGUGUUGCUCAGUGGGUAGAGUGCUGGCCUUGCAUGCACUGAGCCCUGGAUUCAAGCUCCAGCAUCCCCA